rnacentral:rRNA from 1 species
UACGUAGGGUGCAAGCGUUUAAUCGGAAUUACUGGGCGUAAAGCGUGCGCAGGCGGCUAUGCAAGACAGAUGUGAAAUCCCCGGGCUCAACCUGGGAACUGCAUUUGUGACUGGCGGGCUAGAGUAUGGCAGAGGGGGUAGAAUUCCACGUGUAGCAGUGAAAUGCGUAGAGAUGUGGAGGAAUACCGAUGGCGAAGGCAGCCCCCUGGGCCAAUACUGACGCUCAUGCACGAAAGCGUGGGGAGCAAACAGG